AACGAACGCUGGCGGCAUGCCUAACACAUGCAAGUCGAACGAGACCUUCGGGUCUAGUGGCGCACGGGUUCGUAACGCGUGGUAACCUGCCCUUAGGUUCGGAAUAACUCCCCUAAAUGGGUGCUAAUACCGGUUAAUGUCUUCGGACCAAAGAUUUAUCGCCUUUGGAUGGGCCCGCGUUGGAUUAGCUAGUUGGUAGGGUAAAAGCAUACCAAGGCGACGAUCCAUAGCUGGUCUGAGAGGAUGAUCAUCCACACUGGGACUGAGACACGGCGCAGACAACGACGGGAGGAAGAAGUGGGGAAUAUUGGAAAAUGGGCGAAAGCCUGAACCAGCAAUGCCGCGUGAGUGAUGAAGGGCUUAGGGUUGUAAAGCUGUUUUACACGGGAUGAUAAUGACAGUAACGGGAGAAUAAGCAACGGCUAACUACGUG
rnacentral:rRNA from 1 species